rnacentral:sRNA from 1 species
AGCAAACCACAGUUCUGGGUCUUCGGG